AUCCAGCUGACGAGUCCCAAAUAGGAAGAAACAUGAGUCCUGGAU
rfam:Schistosoma rodhaini strain Burundi genome assembly, scaffold: SROB_contig0004210